rnacentral:rRNA from 1 species
CUAAUCUGGGGGGCGGUGGUGGGGGUAAUACGGGGGCCCGAGGCGGUACGCGGAGUGACUGGGGGUAGAGAUGGCGUAGGUGGUCGUGUUAGUCGGCUGUUAAAACCCGGGGCUCAAGUCCGGAUCGGCGGGGGAAACGGCACGACUCGAGGGCGUGAGAGGUGCAUAGAACUCUAGGUGUAGGGGUGAAAUCCGUUGAUAUCUAGGGGAAUACCGAAAGCGAAGGCAGUGCACUGGCGCGUUCCUGACACUCAAGCACGAAAGCGUGGGUAGCGAACGGGAUUAGAUACCCUGGUAGUC